GCCGAGGUGGCGGAAUUGGUAGACGUGCCUGACUCAAAAUCAGGUAGUGGUAACACUGUGAGGGUUCGAGUCCCUUCCUCGGCA
rnacentral:tRNA from 1 species